rnacentral:rRNA from 1 species
AUUGAACGCUGGCGGCAUGCCUUACACAUGCAAGUCGAACGGCAGCACGGGGCAACCUGGUGGCGAGUGGCGAACGGGUGAGUAAUGCAUCGGAACGUACCUUUCAGUGGGGGAUAACGUAGCGAAAGUUACGCUAAUACCGCAUAUUCUGUGAGCAGGAAAGCAGGGGAUCGCAAGACCUUGCGCUGACUGAGCGGCGGAUGUCAGAUUAGCUUGUUGGUGAGGUAAAGGCUCACCAAGGCGACGAUCUGUAGCGGGUCUGAGAGGAUGAUCCGCCACACUGGAACUGGGACACGGUCCAGACUCCUACGGGAGGCAGCAGUGGGGAAUUGUGGACAAUGGGGGCAACCCUGAUCCAGCCAUGCCGCGUGAGUGAAGAAGGCCUUCGGGUUGUAAAGCUCGUUCGGCCGGGAAGAAAUCGCACGGGCUAAUACCCUGUGUGGAUGACGGUACCGGAAUAAGAAGCACCGGCUAACUACGUGCCAGCCGCCGCGGUAAAAC